GGACUGACCAUCGUGAUUCUGAUUUCAUUCCAUGCAAGUGUUUUCUAUAUGUAUAGAUAAUAUUGAAAACCUUGUUUGGAUUGGCAUCAGUAUGCAAUUAUAUUCUCAGAGCC